rnacentral:rRNA from 1 species
CCUACGGGAGGCAGCAGUAGGGAAUCUUCGGCAAUGGACGAAAGUCUGACCGAGCAACGCCGCGUGAGUGAGGAAGGUUCUCGGAUCGUAAAACUCUGUUGGUAGAGAAGAACGUUGGUGAGAGUGGAAAGCUCAUCAAGUGACGGUAACUACCCAGAAAGGGACGGCUAACUACGUGCCAGCAGCCGCGGUAAU